GGUAGAUUUACUUUUACUCAAGUAGGACAAUUGGUUACUUUUUCCACCUCUGGACUAAUUCCCAGCACAAAGAUUACGAGACCAAGCUACUACUACAUGAGUUGCUGGGGAAACGUCAAAUACCCGCCCCGGGGAGGUUCCGUUCCGUUCACAUUCACAGCCACCACUGCGCCUAAAGAUCAGUGGCAUUGACAUUUUGUAGUAACUGAGGAAAAACAAUAACUUGUCAUACGAAAAGAUGGCAGACCCAGCAACAGACAAAGUGCUUAUAACAGAGACGGCUGAACUGUCUUCACGUUCUGUGCCAUCCUACUUUGACCCCUAUGAGCGCUCUGUAAAAUACAUGGAAAGUCAUCAAAUUCUUCAGAUCUUUCAGGAGAUUGCUGAGAACCUGGUUUUUGACAGGCCAGACGAUCCUCUUCAGUUCAUGUUAGAACAGGUACAAUUGAAGAUUCGAAACAGAGAAGAAUCCAACUGCAAACCAGAGAAAGUAGAGUAGACUAGCAGCCUGUUCUACCAUGCACUGCAGAAGACACCUGCAUCAUUCAAUCAUGAUUAAACCGGAAUUCAUUGUUCACAGUGUCGUCUGUAUAUCUCCGGAGGGACUCCAAAUCACCAGCGAGCAUAGGCCAUUCACAGGAAUACACAUUGGCUAUGUUACACUAUGAACUGCCUCAGCAAUCUAUAGACCAAGUCUUAGUAAAAUGGCAAUGAUUGUGAAGUAGGCUAGCUAUCUCAUAGUCCAAAUGACAAUUUAGCAAGACCAGACAUACAAACGACCUUGUGAUACAAUUUUGAUAUCUCAAAUGCAGAAUAACUUCAUUGCAACAGAAGUAUACAAAACAAAUAUUAUUUUUGAUUUAGUAUCCCAGGCAGACUGUUCAAUGCUCAGCCAGUCACCAAAUAGGCUAUUCAGAUGAGCCACUAUAAUGAAGCAAUCUGUGUUUAGAUGUUUUCAAGACAUUAAGUCAAAGUUUCAUAAAUUGUAUGUUAGAGUUCAUUAAAAAGCAUUAACAACAUGAAUCAAAACAAAAUUAUUGAUUCUCUUUUAAUCUUUUGAGAAUUAUUAUUUUUUCUCUAUCUCUAUAAUGUAUUGCUAUCAUCUGGGCACCUAGCCUUUCCCUCCCUCCCUUUCUAGCCUAUUUAAUCUCAGAAAAUAACCUAUAUGCUUAAUAUUAUAAUUUUUCCCACUUUCUUCCUCCACUUUUUCAUUUUAGAAAAACGUACUGUACUCUGCCUGUGAAGGAAUGGCCACUACAGGCCCUUGUGCUAUCUGUCUGCCACAGCAACACAUCGACCUUGAAACUCCUGAUGCGUUUCAUUUCAUUUGAAUAAGCCCCUGUGGCACCACAGCGUUGUAAAUAAUGAGACUCUGGGGAAACAAUAAUUCUUCAGAAUUUAAAUUCAAAGUAAUUCUUCAGAAUUUGAAUUCUAUCUUCUUUAAGCCCAUCACUGAUAAUAGAUAGGACCGUGGUAACUAGGUCUGUUAGCCAUCAUAGCAAGAGGACUGAAGAAAGUGCCAUGUUAUGUCACCAUGGAGACAGACCUAUACCAUGUGGAGUUCACAUAGUAAUAGAUCAAGCGAAGCACGCUAUCUGAUCUAUGUUUUUCAUGUUUCAAGAUGAUUCUCCAAUCAUUGUAAAGACCGCAAGCCAUGGCAGAUGGAGAAAACAGAAGAACAUAAUGCUAUGGUUAUAACGAGUGAUCAUCCAGUUAUGACAUAACGUAUGCUGUGGAUAAACUUUAAACCAAGAACCUGGUCAUACUUUCACAUUUCAGAAUAGGCCUAGGCAUACUCAAUUCAUUUCAGAAUAGGCCUAGGCAUACUCAAUUCAUUUCAGAAUAGGCCUAGGUAUACUCAAUUCAUUUCAGAAUAGGCCUAGGCAUACUCAAUUCAUUUCAGAAUAGGCCUAGGCAUACUCAAUUCAUUUCAGAAUAGGCCUAGUGUAACGGGACCUUGAAGUAGUGUUUCCCCUUGCUCUGCAAGGGCCGCGGCUUUUGUGGAGCGAUGGGUAACGACGCUUCGUAGGUGACUGUUGUUGAUGUGUG